GCCGGGUGUAGCUCAGUCGGUGGAAGCUCAUUCGUAAUGAGAGGUCGGGUGUUCGAUUCAUCUCUCCGGCACCA
rnacentral:tRNA from 1 species